CAGUCGAGCGAAUGGAUUAAGAGCUUGCUCUUAUGAAGUUAGCGGCGGACGGGUGAGUAACACGUGGGUAACCUGCCCAUAAGACUGGGAUAACUCCGGGAAACCGGGGCUAAUACCGGAUAACAUUUUGAACCGCAUGGUUCGAAAUUGAAAGGCGGCUUCGGCUGUCACUUAUGGAUGGACCCGCGUCGCAUUAGCUAGUUGGUGAGGUAACGGCUCACCAAGGCAACGAUGCGUAGCCGACCUGAGAGGGUGAUCGGCCACACUGGGACUGAGACACGGCCCAGACUCCUACGGGAGGCAGCAGUAGGGAAUCUUCCGCAAUGGACGAAAGUCUGACGGAGCAACGCCGCGUGAGUGAUGAAGGCUUUCGGGUCGUAAAACUCUGUUGUUAGGGAAGAACAAGUGCUAGUUGAAUAAGCUGGCACCUUGACGGUACCUAACCAGAAAGCCACGGCUAACUACGUGCCAGCAGCCGCGGUAAUACGUAGGUGGCAAGCGUUAUCCGGAAUUAUUGGGCGUAAAGCGCGCGCAGGUGGUUUCUUAAGUCUGAUGUGAAAGCCCACGGCUCAACCGUGGAGGGUCAUUGGAAACUGGGAGACUUGAGUGCAGAAGAGGAAAGUGGAAUUCCAUGUGUAGCGGUGAAAUGCGUAGAGAUAUGGAGGAACACCAGUGGCGAAGGCGACUUUCUGGUCUGUAACUGACACUGAGGCGCGAAAGCGUGGGGAGCAAACAGGAUUAGAUAC
rnacentral:rRNA from 1 species